rnacentral:rRNA from 1 species
GAUGAACGCUGGCGGCGUGCCUAAUACAUGCAAGUCGAGCGAACGGACGAGAAGCUUGCUUCUCUGAUGUUAGCGGCGGACGGGUGAGUUACACGUGGAUAACCUACCUAUAAGACUGGGAUAACUUCGGGAAACCGGAGCUAAUACCGGAUAAUAUUUUGAACCGCAUGGUUCAAAAGUGAAAGACGGUCUUGCUGUCACUUAUAGAUGGAUCCGCGCUGCAUUAGCUAGUUGGUAAGGUAACGGCUUACCAAGGCAACGAUGCAUAGCCGACCUGAGAGGGUGAUCGGCCACACUGGAACUGAGACACGGUCCAGACUCCUACGGGAGGCAGCAGUAGGGAAUCUUCCGCAAUGGGCGAAAGCCUGACGGAGCAACGCCGCGUGAGUGAUGAAGGUCUUCGGAUCGUAAAACUCUGUUAUUAGGGAAGAACAUAUGUGUAAGUAACUGUGCACAUCUUGACGGUACCUAAUCAGAAAGCCACGGCUAACUACGUG